GAUGAACGCUGGCGGCGUGCCUAAUACAUGCAAGUCGAGCGGACGGACGAGAAGCUUGCUUCUCUGAUGUUAGCGGCGGACGGGUGAAUAACACGUGUAUAACCUACCUAUAAGACUGGGAUAACUUCGGGAAACCGGCGCUAAUAUCGUAUAAUAUUUUGCACCGCAGGGUUCAAAAGUGAAAGACGGUGUUGCUGUCACUUAUAGAUGGAUCUGCGCUGCAUUAGCUAGUUGGUAAGUUAACGGCUUACCAAGGCAACGAUGCAUAGCCGAAGUGAGAGAGUGAUAGGCCACAUGAGAGGUGAGACACGGUCCAGACUACUGAGGGAGGGAGCAGUAGGGAAUCUGACGCAAUAGGCGAAAGUCUGACGGAGCAACGCGGAGUGAGUGAUGAAGGUCUUGCGAGCGUAAAACCCUGUUAUUAGGGAAGAACAUAUUUGUAAGGAGCUGUGCACAGCUUGACGGUAACUAAUCAGAAAGCCACGGCUAACUACGUG
rnacentral:rRNA from 1 species